GAUGAACGCUGGCGGCGUGCCUAAUACAUGCAAGUCGAGCGAACAGAUGAGGAGCUUGCUCCUCUGACGUUAGCGGCGGACGGGUGAGGAACACGUGGAUAACCUACCUAUAAGACUGGGAUAACUUCGGGAAACCGGAGCUAAUACCGGAUAAUAUAUUGAACCGCAUGGUUCAAUAGUGAAAGACGGUUUUGCUGUCACUUAUAGAUGGAUCCGCGCUGCAUUAGCUAGUUGGUAAGGUAACGGCUUACCAAGGCAACGAUGCGUAGCCGACUUGAGAGGGUGAUCGGCCACACUGGAACUGAGACACGGUCCAGACUCCUACGGGAGGCUGCAGUAGGGAAUCUUCCGCAAUGGGCGAAAGCCUGACGGAGCAACGCCGCGUGAGUGAUGAAGGUCUUCGGAUCGUAAAACUCUGUUAUUAGGGAAGAACAAAUGUGUAAGUAACUGUGCACGUCUUGACGGUACCUAAUCAGAAAGCCACGGCUAACUACGUG
rnacentral:rRNA from 1 species